GCCUGGGUGGCUCAAUCAGUUAAGCAACUGACUUCAGCUCAGAUCAUGAUCUCACUGUUCAUGAGUUCAAGCCCCAUAUCAGGCU
rnacentral:tRNA from 1 species